GGGUAAGCAGGCAGAAAGAAUAGAUGUAGAGCUCUCAUUGUGGGAGAGAAAGUUUGCUUGGGCCAGGAAUGGGGAAAGAUUGAUUAGCAGAUCUCCUGGAAGAAAGCAGAGAAAGGUUCCAUCAAAUCCUGACCAUACAUUGAGACUUUACCUUACUUGGGGUGUGACACACUCUACACUGAACUACCCAGGCCGGAUGGAGAAGACAUUUGAGUGGUGAUGGAACAGGUGCAACUUUCAUUGAUGUCAGUUUAUGGCCCUGAAACUUUGGUUGAAGGAAUUAAGGAAGAGGCUAUAAAAGACAGGCUACCUGGAUACUCUCUGCAUUUUUGUCUUCCAGCAAAUUUAAACUGAAUACUCUUUGUACCCUGGAAAAAACAAUGACUCAUAUU